rnacentral:rRNA from 1 species
GUCCACGCCGUAAACGUUGGGCGCUAGGUGUGGGUCCCAUUCCACGGGGUCUGUGCCGCAGCUAACGCAUUAAGCGCCCCGCCUGGGGAGUACGGCCGCAAGGCUAAAACUCAAAGGAAUUGACGGGGCCCCGCACAAGCGGCGGAGCAUGCGGAUUAAUUCGAUGCAACGCGAAGAACCUUACCAAGGCUUGACAUCCACGGAAAUCCAUCAGAGAUGGUGGGUCCGCAAGGGUUCGUGGACAGGUGGUGCAUGGUUGUCGU